rnacentral:rRNA from 1 species
GAGACGCUGGCGGCGUGCCUAAUACAUGCAAGUCGAGCGGGGAUUAUGCUUGAUCGCUUCGGUGAGACGGCAUAUAUCCUAGCGGCGGACGGGUGAGUAACGCGUGGGUAAUCUACCUCGUAGUUCGGGAUAACAGGCCGAAAGGCUUGCUAAUACCGGAUGAGUUCAUGCUUAUGCAUAUAGGCAUGAAGAAAGGGCUAGCCCGCUAUGAGAUGAGCCCGCGUCCCAUUAGCUUGUUGGUGGGGUAAUGGCCUACCAAGGCAACGAUGGGUAGCCGGCCUGAGAGGGUGUACGGCCACACUGGGACUGAGACACGGCCCAGACUCCUACGGGGGGCAGCAGUAGGGAAUUUUCGGCAAUGGGCGAAAGCCUGACCGAGCGACGCCGCGUGAGGGACGAAGGCCUUCGGGUUGUAAACCUCUGUCUGGGGGGAUGAGAACGGACGGUACCCCCGGAGGAAGCCCCGGCUAACUACGUG